GACGAACCGUGCGAACGUUAUUCGGAAUCACUGGGCUUAAAGGGCGCGUAGGCGGGCCACCAAGUCAGGGGUGAAAGCCUCCGGCUCAACCGGAGAAGUGCCUUUGAUACUGGUGGCCUAGAGGGAGGUAGGGGCCUGCGGAACUUCCGGUGGAGCGGUGAAAUGCGUAGAUAUCGGAAGGAACGCCGGUGGCGAAAGCGGCGGGCUGGACCUCUUCUGACGCUGAGGCGCGAAAGCCAGGGGAGCAAACGGG
rnacentral:rRNA from 1 species